rnacentral:misc_RNA from 1 species
CAGAGUUGCAAGACUCCCUAAACCAUUGUGAACCUACCUUCUACCGUUGCUUCGGCGGGCGGGCCCAGCGCCCCUCCGGCCCCCCGCGGGCGCCCGCCGGAGGAUACCCAAACUCUUGACAUUAGUGGCCUCUCUGAGUAUUCUUUACUGAAUAAGUCA